rnacentral:rRNA from 1 species
AGUUGCCAUCAUUAAGUUGGGCACUCUGAGGAAACUGCCCCGGGUUAAACCGGGAGGGAAGGCGGGGAUGACGUCAAGUCCUCAUGGCCCUUAUGUCCAGGGCUACACACGUGCUACAAUGGGCGGUACAAAGGGUCGCAAACCCGUAAGGGGGAGCUAAUCCACCAAAAGCCGUCCUCAGUUCGGAUUGAGGUCUGCAACUCGACCUCAUGAAGCUGGAAUCGCUAGUAAUCGCGGAUCAGCAUGCCGCGGUGAAUACGUUCCCGGGCCUU